AUUGCAUAGCUGCAAAUGUUGGGCUAUAGUAUUGACCUAAUGAGGGCCGCUUGCCCUUUGGUCGUUUAGUGAUGCUGUAGGGCUGCUUUACAUACUGAAUAAAAUUUGAUAGUCUCUUGGAACACUUACUGAAACCAAACCAAUUGACUCGGCGAAUUAUUUCAGAAGUUUUGGGUUUUGAUCUAAUGGAAGUAAAUAUUGUGUAGGCUGCGAUAAGUAAUCAAGCAGUGAAAGUGGGCGAAGAACUGCGUGCGACUCGGCAUGUGCUGCUCACUGGACCUCCAUCGACAGGAAGGCUUUGUACGACACAAUUCCAGGUCGCUAGAUUGACAGAGGGCCCAUUUACUGGCCCAGAAGGUCGCCGGAGAUGACGCAUUACUUUUUUCUUCGCGGUUUCGUGAAGGAUGCUGUCUAAAAGACCACGGUGCGGGACCUGCGGGCUUUCACAUCGGAGCAGCAAAUGCAAAAGUUAAUUACAUGUAGGUUCGAUGUGGGAGAAACUGAAGUAUUUCAUAGACACCAUGCGUGCUUCAGAUAGUGCACACAUUGAACUGUCAAACGGCUACGACUACAGGUGUGUGUUUCAUUAAUGUGGCUGUUGCGUAGCGGUUGGUUUGUCCAGGAAAAUGGUCGCAGUGCGAGAGAAACCUCAAUGUGUGGUCUAGUGGUGCAUGAACUCCAGGUCGACCCUAAACAGCACAAAAGAAAUUUCAGAUAACAUACAGAAAGACAUCAGUGAAGUCAGGAUCUGAGUCCAAAGAAGAAAUGUUUGCAGGAUGAUUCCAGACACCUAUAAACCAUUAUGAAUAUAUCAAUAAAUAAUAAUUUGUGAUGUCAUGAAAGAAAACUGCAAUAUCUGAUGGGGAAAGCUAUUCAGCAUGGACUACUAUGUAAAUUUGGAUGUGUUAAGUAAUAUAAAUCAAAUUUUGCAGAAGUUUGAAAAUUUUUCUGUUAUGGAUAUUUCCUAUUUUAUUUUCUAACAGGAAAGGGCAUGUUCAUUCAGCCAUAUACACAUUCAUCAGUAGGAGGCAGUCAGUUUACGUACUGAGUGAUUAUUGAGGGUACAAGAGGUGUUGGAAGAGACAGCCCACUGUCUGGAGGAUGUUGAUGGUUUGAGAAAAGCAGUUGUAGAAGUGGUAGGCUGCCUUUAAGGAUGUAUGCCUACUGAUGAGUGACAUACUGUGUAACUGAGGUAGGAAAUGUUGUAGUAGGGCUGCAGGUGAGUGCCAUCUUACUGCUGUAGCAAUGAGAUGUUAAACUGUGCCUUCUGUGUGGCUACAUAAAUUUGAUUUGAGCAUGCAUGUUUGGUUAUGUGGUUUGCUGUAUGAGGUUGUCAGACAUUCUUUGCUAAUGUCCACCACCGCUAUGAGAGGUAUGAUACCUAGCAUUGUGGAUUGGUUGAUUUUUCUUGUGUUACUGCUGUAAUGACAGUGUUCCCUUAUGGUUUUGUGUAUGACCCUUUUGAAUAGAUCACUUACUAUUCAUUUAUUUUCAGAGGAAAUGAUUGUGGCUAUAGCGGAAAUUUAUGUUACGAAGUAUGUAUUGGAAGGAACAGGAAAAACUGCAAAUAUUUGAGAACUUAUAGAACACUUAAGAUUAUAAAAGAAUAGUUGGAACAGUUGUGGCAAAAUGAUAGUACGUAUAUCUUUGAAAUGACUGGAAGGGGAUUGAGCAAGAUGAUAUUGAAUGAGGAUGAGAAGCUGUCAAAGAGUGUGAUUAAUUUGCAGGCAUGUCAUCCAUGACUUGGGAGAAUGUUUACACAGGUCAUGUGUAUCAUUUGUUUCAUUGCAUGUAAUUUCUGCAUUAUAAUGAUACGAGAUGUUGCAGAUGAAGCAGAAAAUAUAAAAUCAUGUUAUGACAUUCUAUCAGGUGAAGCUGUGUUGUGAUUUUUUUAAAGUGAAGUGGCAUGAGGAAAUUGACUGUGAUUGCUUUUGAUUAUAGGAAAAUGGUUCUUUCUCUACUAAGGUAUUGUGAUGCUUUUUCAUAAGACUGUAUCCAUCUUUUUAUGGCUGGAAGUGUCAUAGUUUGUUGCAGGACAAAUUUUUGUGCAGAGGAAAGGGGACUAUUGCCGUUGCAGCCGUGAUGUUUUAUGUAAUGUAUUGGUUGCAACAGGUGUCACGAAGAAUUAAUAUAUUUGCCUGUUGUUGAAAUGUAUAUAACGUUCAGUUCUAAACAUUUGUAUUGAUUUAUCUUUUAAUUACAGUGAGUGUAACAUGUAGAUACAUAACUUGAUAUGUCUAGUAUUAGUGGAUAUGUAACGUAUAUUACUUACAUUCAUAGUGUCAAGCUGUGAAAUACAGGUAGUUGUAGGCUGCAGAGUGAUGGACUGGAGUGUUGGAGGGAGAAGAGAUGAGAUGUAGGAUGGUUAACACAGAAUAUUUCUUGUGAUCCAUUGAAUACAGAUCAUGGAAUGGGGAGGUAGCAGUGUCUGCAGUAAUGUUAGUAAGCACAUGGAAUUGAUAUGUACUGGGGCAGAAAAUAAUAUUAUUUAAAAAGAACUUUAUUAUAUUUGGCUGAGUGUGUUGAUGAAUACAUAUUAACCCAAGCAGUUUGGUAUUUCUUCCUCUGAUGAUGAUCUAUGCAGUUAAGCUGUUUCAGCUUGUCUUACUUUAAUUAUGUUGUGCAACCAGAGUUCAGCAUUUUUGUGCUUAUGAGAAUGUAAUCAACACAGGAACAGUCCAGUGCGCAAUUCUGUUGGGAGCUGUGCCUGCACCUUUUUGCGUGACACAGAGAAAAUAUGAAGU